AAAUCCGGAGAGCUGGUUGCUU
rnacentral:misc_RNA from 1 species